rnacentral:rRNA from 1 species
CGGGUGAGUAACACGUGAGUAACCUGCCCCUGACUCUGGGAUAAGCGUUGGAAACGACGUCUAAUACUGGAUAUGAUCACUGGCCGCAUGGUCUGGUGGUGGAAAGAUUUUUUGGUUGGGGAUGGACUCGCGGCCUAUCAGCUUGUUGGUGAGGUAAUGGCUCACCAAGGCGACGACGGGUAGCCGGCCUGAGAGGGUGACCGGCCACACUGGGACUGAGACACGGCCCAGACUCCUACGGGAGGCAGCAGUGGGGAAUAUUGCACAAUGGGCGAAAGCCUGAUGCAGCAACGCCGCGUGAGGGAUGACGGCCUUCGGGUUGUAAACCUCUUUUAGUAGGGAAGAAGCGAAAGUGACGGUACCUGCAGAAAAAGCACCGGCUAACUACGUGCCAGCAGCCGCGGUAAUACGUAGGGUGCAAGCGUUGUCCGGAAUUAUUGGGCGUAAAGAGCUCGUAGGCGGUUUGUCGCGUCUGCUGUGAAAUCCCGAGGCUCAACCUCGGGCUUGCAGUGGGUACGGGCAGACUAGAGUGCGGUAGGGGAGAUUGGAAUUCCUGGUGUAGCGGUGGAAUGCGCAGAUAUCAGGAGGAACACCGAUGGCUAAGGCAGAUCUCUGGGCCGUAACUGACGCUGAGGAGCGAAAGCAUGGGGAGCGAACAGGAUUAGAUACCCUGGUAGUCCAUGCCAUAAACGUUGGGCGCUAGAUGUAGGGACCUUUCCACGGUUUCUGUGUCGUAGCUAACGCAUUAAGCGCCCCGCCUGGGGAGUACAGCCGCAAGGCUAAAACUCAGAGGAAUUGACGGGGGCCCGCACAAGCGGCGGAGCAUGCGGAUUAAUUCGAUGCAACGCGGAAGAACCUUACCAAGGCUUGACAUACACCGGAAAACGGCCAGAGAUGGUCGCCCCCU